CUUCGUUACGUCCGAGAACAUUUCACCAGAAGCUUCUUCUUGCCUCCUCUCUCUGUCUCUUCUUCUUUAUGCGUCUUCUUCUUCAUGUCACAGUUAUCAUCUCCCUCACGAUACCACAGGCGAAGGAUGAUGUCAUCAGCACGAGUCUAAGACAAAGCAGCUCAACGAAUCUCCGGUUCUUCCAGCGAUGAGCCGAACCAGCCUGAGUCUGAGCCGAUCUCCUUCCUUCGACACGUGAGCGACCUGUUCAUCAAGAAAGAUAACUGCAGAAGCCGAACUUCGACACACAAAGAUAAGUUUUCUUUCUUCCUAAUCUUUGAUUAGAUUCUUCCAGAUUUUAGGGUUUUUCUUUGGGAUUAGAUUUCAGGUUCCGAUUAAAUACAGAGAUGAGUAUACGAACACACGCACACACACACUCUAGAACACAGAUUUAACGAGUUCAGAUUCCCAGUGUGGGAGAUCCUACAUCUCGGCAGGGACUUUGCCCUAGGUUAAUCCACUAUUACGUUCUUGCACCAUUACAACAGAGGAAUAUAUCAUUCUCUCUAAUAUACAAGCAUACACAGAAUCGGGAUUAGAAACUUAGCUCUUUCCCUUGAGUUUUCCUCCUUUCCGAUCACAGAACUUGCCAUUCUUAUGCAUCGAAGCUGAUCUCUUCCUCCAUUUCUUUUGCAGCUUAGUCAGCCUCCACAGAAGAAAACGAGAAGAAGAAUACUCUGCGUGCUCUCUGUGCUGAACUAAUGUGUAUUCUCGUUCCAAAACCAUUUCUGAUUUCUCAUACCUUUUAUAGCAGAUUUAGCAGCCUGAGCUCAGAGAAUGCAGAGGCAUGGAAACACGUAAUAUUCAUCUCCAAUCUUCUUCUGUGGAUGUUGUUUAGCUACAAAGAAGAUGAGAAUGUCAAAUUAUGAAAGAAAAGUUAAGUAUUUUCUAGAUUCUGUGUAAUACAUGGUGUAUGUGUGCGUAUAGAUUUUGUGUUGUAUCCUCUAUGUAAUCACACAAAGAAACCCUAAAGGAUGAGUGGAUUGAUCUGGGGCAAAGUCCCUGCCGAGA